CUGCGAGUGAGCGGGAUGAGCUCAAAUUUAAAAUCUGGCGGUCGUUGUGGCCGUCCGAGUUGUAGUCUGGAGAAGUGUUAUCCGCGUCGGACCGUGUACAAGUCUCCUGGAAUGGAGCGUCAUAGAGGGUGAGAAUCCCGUCCAUGACACGGACGCCCGAUGCUUUGUGAGGCACUCUCGAAGAGUCGAGUUGUUUGGGAAUGCAGCUCAAAAUGGGUGGUAAAUUCCAUCUAAAGCUAAAUAUUGGCGAGAGACCGAUAGCGAACAAGUACCGUGAGGGAAAGAUGAAAAGCACUUUGGAAAGAGAGUUAAAUAGUACGUGAAAUUGUUGAAAGGGAAACGCUUGAAGUCAGUCGCGUCCCGUGGAACUCAGCCUGGCUUCGGCCUGGUGUAUUUUCUAUGCGGACGGGUCAACAUCAGUUUUGGCCGGCGGAAAAAGGCAGAGGGAAUGUAGCGCCGCUUCGGUGGCGUGUUAUAGCCCUCUGUCAAAUACGCUGGCGGGGACUGAGGACCGCAGCACGCCCUUGCGGCCGGGGGUUCGCCCCACGUUCGUGCUUAGGAUGUUGGCAUAAUGGCUUUAAGCGACCCGUCUUGAAA
rnacentral:rRNA from 1 species